GACGAACGCUGGCGGCGUGCUUAACACAUGCAAGUCGAACGGAAAGGCCCUGCUUUUGUGGGGUGCUCGAGUGGCGAACGGGUGAGUAACACGUGAGUAACCUGCCCUUGACUUUGGGAUAACUUCAGGAAACUGGGGCUAAUACCGGAUAGGAGCUCCUGCUGCAUGGUGGGGGUUGGAAAGUUUCGGCGGUUGGGGAUGGACUCGCGGCUUAGCAGCUUGUUGGUGGGGUAGUGGCUUACCAAGGCUUUGACGGGUAGCCGGCCUGAGAGGGUGACCGGCCACAUUGGGACUGAGAUACGGCCCAGACUGCUACGGGAGGCAGCAGUGGAAAAUAUUGCACAAUGGGCGGAAGCCUGAUGCAGCAACGCCGCGUGCGGAAUGACGGCCUUCGGGGUGUAAACCGCUUUCGCCUGUGACGAAGCGUGAGUGACGGUAAUGGGUAAAGAAGCACCGGCUAACUACGUG
rnacentral:rRNA from 1 species